rnacentral:rRNA from 1 species
UACGUAGGGCGCAAGCGUUGUCCGGAAUCAUUGGGCGUAAAGCGCGCGUAGGUGGCUUCGUAAGUCCGUUGUGAAAGUCAAAGGCUCAAUCUUUGAAAGCCGAUGGAUACUGCGGAGCUAGAGUACGGAAGAGGCGAGUGGAAUUCCUGGUGUAGCGGUGGAAUGCGCAGAUAUCAGGAGGAACACCAGUAGCGAAGGCAGCUCGCUGGGACGUUACUGACACUGAGGCGCGAAAGCGUGGGGAGCGAACAGG